rnacentral:rRNA from 1 species
AUUGAACGCUGGCGGCAGGCCUAACACAUGCAAGUCGAGCGAGCGGCGGACGGGUGAGUAAUGUAUGGGGACUGCCCGAUAGAGGGGGAUAACUACUGGAAACGGUAGCUAAUACCGCAUACUAUCGGAUAACCCAUAUGGGAUUAGCUAGUAGGUGAGGUAAUGGCUCACCUAGGCGACGAUCCCGUGCUGGUCUGAGAGGAUGAUCAGGAAAACUGGGACAUAGAGACGGCGCUGAGGCCUGCGGAGGCAGCAAGGGGGAAGUGUGCACAAUGGGCGCAAGCGUGAUGCAGUCAGGCCGCGUGUAUGAAGAGGGGCCGAGGGUUGUAAGGUACUAUCACUCGUUAGGCGUUAGCGACAGAAGAAGCACCGGCUAACUCCGUGCCAGCAGCCGCGGUAAUAC